rnacentral:lncRNA from 1 species
UAACCCACAAAUAAUAAUCCUAAUUAAAAUACUCUUAUCUAUCAUCUCUAGAUUUAGGACUUCUUAGGCUCUCAUCUUUAGAAUUCUCUUUCUCAUCUAUCUCUCCUUCCUCUUCUCUUUUCUUCCAUUAAUUAAAAAUAAUUACAAAAAUAACUGAAAAUUUCCAACUUUCUUCUUGGACUAGGAUAUCUGGACGAUUAGUUAGAACCGAGUUGAAUCUUAUAUUAAGUCCAAUA